rnacentral:tRNA from 1 species
GAAUUUUAAGUAUAAUUUUUGUAUAACUAACUGUUGAUUAGUAGGGUUGAUAAUUCU